UACCGUUUUUAUACCAGCACAACACGAAAUGCUUAGCUCUCUACUACUCAUUAAGCCUCUAUUGUAAACGUUCACAUUCAGCACGGUUCUGCAUGCUCGCCCCGCGGCAACCGCCCCCGCCUGUCUCCCGCAAUCGUCGCUCUCUCCCGCAAUCCGCGUCCAGAUCCCGCGUCCGUGACAUCCUCCGCCCUGGAUCGCCGCGCUAGGCUCUCUCCGCGUCCGCCCUCUCCAUGGAGUUGUGCCCCCGUGUGCCCUCGCGCGAGCGACCUCUCCCCUGGUGCACCAUGCCCCGCCCGCCCUGCUCUCCGUCGCGCCCUUCCAGGGAUCCUCCAUCGCCGCUCCCGCCAUCAUCGCGCCCGCGCUCCAUCGAUGGAAGGUGUCGCCCCGCCAUCCUCGCCUCGCUCCCCGCGACACGCGGCGCCAGGUACUACUCCGCCUUCUCGACCUCGGCCUCCGCGGUGCCCGCCUGGCCUGCUGCGGUAACCGUUGCCAUGCUCGAAGCGGAUCCAGCACCCCAUCCCAACAUCUUCCUAAAAUCCUCGGAUCUGCCCCCUUCCUCCGCAGCUUGUGUCGCAUCUUCUAUCUAUUCACCAGCAAGGUACCUGGCACAGAACCCAGCCGAAUCCUAGAACCCAGCCGGAUCCUAGAAAUUUCCCAUUGGCAUCUGGUGACCGUAUCCGGUGGUUGGGCGUCAGACGCAGCGGGGCGGUACCGGUGCUUGGAGUUGGACCACCCGUGCAAGGCACCGUGGUGCGACGGGCCGCUCGGCGCGCUGGAGAGCAACGGGUGGGUGUACUCGGCGCACUGCUCCUUCAAGCUCUUUGUGGCCGAUGCGUCGUGGUGGUGCCUUGACGGGAAGUGGCUCUUCUUCUGGGGCGACUCUAACCACGUCGACACCAUCCGGAACCUCCUCACCUUCGUCCUCGGCAUCACGGACACGUCUGCUGUGACACGCCAGUUUGAUGCAGUGUUCACCAAUCCCAUUGGUGGGGCAGGGACUCUAAGGAUCACAAGCAUCUUCAACGGCCACUGGAACAUGAGCAUGAACUAUCUCGGCUUGCAUUCCCUCCGGAACAGAGGUUUCCGGCAGCUCAUCCGGUCCUACUUCAUGUCCGGUGAUCGUGUUCCAGACGUCAUGGUCCUGAACUCUCGCCUGCACGAUGGCUGCUACUGGACCAGCGUCCGCAUCUACGCGCAGGCUGCGGAUUUCGCAGCACAGUUCUGGUCCGGAGUCAUGGACAAAGUCCGGGCUCGUGGGCAUGCAGUGCCCAGGGUGUUCUACCGGACGCAGAUGCCUCAGAUGCAGGGAAAAACCACGCGACUCCCUUCACGGAAUUGAGAGAUGAAGCUGGUGUCACAUACUCACAUCCGCAGGGAUGGGUCACGUUGCAGACACUUCCUAAUGAAGUCCUUGUAGUGCUGCGAAAGGUAAUCAGAUUUUGUUAGUAGACAACACAAGGAAGGAAGCACAAGGAAGUUUAACCUGUAUAGCACAAGGAAGCAAGCAGCUCAGCCUCCAUUUUAUUUGGAAAAGUCUUAUACUUAUCAGAAGUAAGUUUUUGAUCCUCUAUUUUAUUACAGAUUUUGUGAUUCCAGAUCUGUUGACCUCAAGCCAGAUUGGGUACAACCUUAUUGUUGUUUUGUUGACCAACUCUAGAAAGAAAAGCUAAAACUCUACCCUCUGCGCCCACCUUCAAGGUCGCUCCCUAUCUUCCUUCACUCUCCAUCAAAGCUUUGCUCGCAUCAAAUUAAAUUUCUUUUCGUUACGAAUUUAGCUUCAUUAUAUAAUAUUUUGCUCAGUGAAUUGAUCAAGUUUGGUGCACGAGUGUCAUGCUCCUAGGUUUUGUACUAAUUGAAGAAGUAGCAAAUGUAGUUCGUGGUGGUGGUUUAAGUCAUGUCUGAUGAAAUUGAUGCUUAUAUAGAGGGGUUCUUUGUGCUUUCGAAAGAAUUCUGCAGGAAAAUCGACUGCAUUUGUUGUUCUUGGGUACACAAUGAAAGAUGGGAAGGCAUAUUUUCCCCCACAUGACAGUAUCUAUACAUAUUGCAGUUGAAAUGGAAAUAAUUGAAAUACAAGGUAUGUGCAGGUGCAGUCUAUUAUAUUGGAGUUAAGAGAGCGCUAGCUUGCAGUCACACUCGAUGAAGUCCUAUAGGGCUAGAUUUUAAAAGUAAGAUCCAGUACAAGGUUACUUCAAUUGCAAUUAGCGAUUAGCCAAAACUUUCAUCUUCGGUCUCACUAGGCCUCACUAGGCCUUUCAUCUUCAAAAGAAUUUAUAAAGAUAUUAUUUUUCAGUCUAUCUCUACAUCCCUCUCUCCAUCUUGUUAUGCAAUUAUGAGUUCAUUAGAUGUCAUUGAUCUAAAUUAAUUUCUAUCCAUUAUGAACUUAUUUUUAAUGAACCAUGCUCCUUCUUCGUUGCUCACAACAGGGUCCAUGUACUUGGCACAUGAUAUACAUAUACGAGAUGGACUUAAAAAUUAACAAAGGUCUUCUUUUGGUGGUAGAUAAUUUUGGUUUUCUUAUGAUUCUCUUUAUGAAGUGGGUGUGGUACCUCUAAACAAAUAGAUGAUCUGUUGACUUAUGGCAGUCAGGCAUUACAUUUUUUUGCAUGAAAUCGACAUCUGAGAAGUGAUAAUUUUGUUUUGAUCGCUUCUCUAUUGCAAGAUUUAGAUGGCUACUAUCCUUUGCAAUUGAUCAAGAAUGGUGAGCUAUUCUAAGGAAGCUUCUGAACAAUAUACCUGUUGUCCUGGAGUGUCACAGAUGGCAAAGAUUUGCGCUUAGAGAAGGAGGAAGAACGGUCGGUGCUAGAGUCAUCUCCAAAGUUCUUAGCUGAUCAGUUUCCACUUUCUUCUCUGUAGUCUGGUUGCAACUGUUGAUGGUUAGCACAUUCUUUAUCUUCAAUUAUUGGAAGAAACAUUUUUGCGCCAAUUACAUGAAAGUGGUUGCAGUUUUAAGGGUCUGUUCAAUCCCUCUCCAAGAUAUUGUAGGUGUAUGAAAUCUUCUAAGCAAACUGUUAAAUACAUUGCACCCGAUCAGAAGGGAUGCUCUAUAAUGCAGCCUGGUAAACCUCCCUCCUGGGCCCAGCUGUCCUCUGCUUUCAGUGUGAAACUACUGAUUUGGGUGUUGCUGAUUUUCAUCAUGAUUUUUUCAGUUUGUCUCAUCAUUUAUCAUGUAAUUUGCUAAACCUUUGGGCACAAUGUUCAUCAUUUAUCAUGCAUAUGCUAUUUUCUAUUGUAUUGGUUUAGGGUGUGAUCUCCGUACAUCGUGCUCCAGCCGCACUCAGAUCUAGCCUUGGCCGGGAGACACCGCGACAGAGGCUGGACGUGCUCUUCCCGUCCUCAUGCCCCAUGCCGCUGCGCGCUCUUCCCUUCACCUCUCACUACACGGCGGCUGCGGGGCAGGGGUGAAAGAGGCGAGGCUUCUCCAGCUUCUCGAGGCCGGAGACCGUUUGCUCAAGGGUGUCGUUCUUGACGGCCUCCUCCGACAGCGUGGACGCGUGGUUCUCAACCAUGGCCUUGGUCACGGCAGGAAGCAGAGCCUGGUGAGGUCCCAUUUCAUGUGCUUGUCAAUAGGUGUAUAUUAUAAUUCAGGUAAUAAUUUAGGUGCCAGAGAAGCUCCCAGUGCCCCAUGUGUUGGCAGCAUAUCAGCAUGAAAGAUCCUAUGAGCCAAGAGCUACUAGAGGCUGUUGAACAAGAGAGGAACAUCCGAUCUAAUCCUUCACGUAAUACUGCUGUUUUCCACCAUCCAAUGCUGGGUGAUUUUGAGGUUAAGAAACUCCAUCAAGAAAAGCAGUUAGGAAUGAUGGUGGACAAAGGCCUGGUAGCAACUAGGACAGGGUUGAGUCAGUACCACCUGUCUCACUGGCCUAGAAUGUUUGAGGUGAUCAGGAUGCUGGAAGGAGACAUGCUCACAGAGAGAUGGGAGGUGUCGCAGAACGUGGACAUGCCAGAGUUCGUCUCAUCGGAGCUCCUACUUCAAAAGUACAUGGAUUUUGCAGCGGACGAAUGCUCGCUUGGUGUAGAAGCCAUGGAGCUCUCUGGACUAAGGUGACCAUCUGAUCGAUCGAAUCGGCCAUCACACAGGUCGCAUAGGUGUCUUGCCAUAUCAAGCCUAUAUUAUUGUUGUAUUACAUUGGACACAUAGGGAAGGGAAAAAAUCCGGUGAAUUAUAGGGUGUGAUCUGUCUGCCUAUACUUGUGGUGGCAUUCAUUUGUGCAAAUGAUUUUGAUAUAUUGAUGUAGAGAAUAUAUAUGUUGUUUAUUUCUAUGUAAUCGUUGCACACUAUAAUUUUAUCAAACAACUUUUGUAUUGUUGCAAGGGGCGACAAAAAUCCA